rnacentral:rRNA from 1 species
CAAAAACAUCGCCUCCUGCAACUAAGUUAAGUAUAGGAGGUCCAGCCUGCCCAGUGACUAUAAGUUCAACGGCCGCGGUAUUUUGACCGUGCAAAGGUAGCGCAAUCACUUGUCUUUUAAAUGGAGACCUGUAUGAAUGGCCAAACGAGGGCUUAACUGUCUCCCCCUUCCAGUCAGUGAAAUUGAUCUACCCGUGCAGAAGCGGGUAUAAUUCUACAAGACGAGAAGACCCUUUGGAGCUUAAGGUAUAAAGACUAACCACGUUAAACAACUACAUGAAAAGGAAGAACCUAGUGGAAGAUAGAACUUUACCUUCGGUUGGGGCGACCACGGGGGAAAAACCAGCCUCCGAGUGGAAUGGGCUACAUCCCUAGAACCAAGAGAAACAUCUCUAAGGCACAGAACAUCUGACCAAACAUGAUCCGGCCUCAUGGCCGAUCAACGAACCAAGUUACCCUAGGGAUAACAGCGCAAUCCUCUCCCAGAGUCCAUAUCGACGAGGGGGUUUACGACCUCGAUGUUGGAUCAGGACAUCCUAAUGGUGCAGCCGCUAUUAAGGGUUCGUUUGUUCAACGAUUAAAGUCCUACGUGAUCUGAG